UACAGAGGUCCCAAGCGUUGUUCGGAUUCAUUGGGCGUAAAGGGUGCGUAGGCGGCGCGGUAAGUCGGGUGUGAAAUCUCGGAGCUUAACUCCGAAACUGCAUUCGAUACUGCGGUGCUUGAGGACUGGAGAGGAGACUGGAGUUUACGGUGUAGCAGUGAAAUGCGUAGAUAUCGUAAGGAAGACCAGUGGCGAAGGCGGGUCUCUGGACAGUUCCUGACGCUGAGGCACGAAGGUCAGGGGAGCAAACGGG
rnacentral:rRNA from 1 species